UCAGAGGCUUUUCUAAAAACCACCCAUAAAUAUUAAUAAUAAUCU
rfam:Eurypyga helias contig44244, whole genome shotgun sequence.